rnacentral:rRNA from 1 species
UACGUAGGGUGCAGGCGUUAAUCGGAAUUACUGGGCGUAAAGCGUGCGCAGGCGGUUGUGCAAGACAGAUGUGAAAUCCCCGGGCUUAACCUGGGAACUGCAUUUGUGACUGCACGGCUAGAGUGUGUCAGAGGGAGGUAGAAUUCCACGUGUAGCAGUGAAAUGCGUAGAUAUGUGGAGGAAUACCGAUGGCGAAGGCAGCCUCCUGGGAUAACACUGACGCUCAUGCACGAAAGCGUGGGGAGCAAACAGG